rnacentral:tRNA from 2 species
GGAUCGAUGGCCGAGCGGUCUAAGGCGCUAGACUCAAGUAUUAGUACAACGUACAAGCUUCCUCGAUUCUCGAGGUGCAUUCUAGUAUCGAAAGAUGCGUGGGUUCGAGUCCCACUCGAUUCA